rnacentral:rRNA from 2 species
UGGGGAAUAUUGCACAAUGGAGGGAACUCGGAUGCAGCGACGCCGCGUGAACGAAGAAGGCUUUCGAGUCGUAAAGUUCUUUUAUAUGGGAAGAUAAUGACGGUACCAUAAGAAAAAGCCCCGGCUAACUACGUGCCAGCAGCCGCGGUAAUACGUAGGGGGCUAGCGUUGUCCGGAAUCACUGGGCGUAAAGGGUUCGCAGGCGGAAAUGCAAGUCAGGUGUAAAAGGCAGUAGCUUAACUACUGUAAGCAUUUGAAACUGCAUAUCUUGAGAAGAGUAGAGGUAAGUGGAAUUUUUAGUGUAGCGGUGAAAUGCGUAGAUAUUAAAAAGAAUACCGGUGGCGAAGGCGACUUACUGGGCUCAUUCUGACGCUGAGGAACGAAAGCGUGGGUAGCAAACAGG